GUCCAUGGCCAUGCUACCCUGAACAAGCCUGAUGUCUGAUCUUGGAAGCUAAACAGAGUUGGGCCUGGUUAGUACUUGGAUGGGAGACUGCUUAGGAAGACCAGGUGCUGUAGGCA
rnacentral:rRNA from 1 species